ACUUCCGCAGCGGUGCCUCUGAGGUGGGAGCUGGUCACAGGGAAGCAGCUUCUGGGCUGCCGUAUUGUCUCUCAAACCACGACGGUCUCAUUAUGGAGCCCUGGCUGGCUUGGGAUUCACUUGAUAGAUAAGAAUAGACUUGAACUCACAAAGAUUCUCCUGCAUCUGAUUCCCACUGGGUAGCAAGUUUCCAAGUGACAAGGAAGACUACCAGUAUUCUCAAUCUAUAUUUUCAGAUGAGUAUAUGCUGAGUAUGGGGAACUGAAGCCCAGAGAGAUUAAGGAACAUGACUAAGGUGGCAGCAGCUAGCAGAGGUCAUGAGCCAAUGAACCAUGGCUGCUUUCUCUCCAACAGGAGACCUUUACAUGACCUUUGCAGUAUAGCCAAGAAGGAGUCCUUGAACCAUGGGUUAAGGCCUCCAGGUCAUCUUCAGAGAAGGUCUCACUGAAACUCAGCCGUCUCUUCUUCAGAAUCUUCCCGUUGCUUGAUGUUGCUGACACUGUCACCCGGCUCUCCUUGAAGGUGAAGUUGGACAUCUUUGAUGUUUCAGAGGUUCUCAGAGAUACAAACUGAUCUGUGUAAGUCUCAUGAAGUGAGCCAUAGUUUGUAUCAUAGAAGGAUUUCUGUGAGGAGGGAAAGUGGAACCUGAGAGGCUAUCCAUGCCCUUGAGAGGAGAUUCUUCAGUAGGAUCUGUAGCCUGCAGGCUCAGUGAGAGUAGUCCCCAUUGUGCUUCCUCCCUCCCACCCUCCCUCCUAUGCAUCCUCCCACUGUCCUUCCUUCCUUCCUUCCUUCCUUCCUUCCUUCCUUCCUUCCUUCCUUCCUUCCUUCUUUCCCCACUGCAUUCCUUCCUUUUCCUUGCUUGGAUUUCCCUGAAAGCAUGUGAUUUUUUUUUUUUUUUUGGAGAGGAAAGUAUUUUUACCCAUCUUUAGGCUCAAAAAUAAAACAUUUUAAUGAAAUAGAUUAAUAUGCAACCCUGGUAAGUCAGAUCCUUCCAUUAAGAGGUCUAACAUCUACUUGAGAGUACUCAAAAUAUUUUAGAAAAUACAUUUGGCCCUCUGUUUUGCCUGCUUGCAUCCUCUAAUUCAAUCAAUCUUAAGAUUCAAAAUAUUUUCUAGAAAUAAAUGACAUCUAUACUGAACAUGUACAUUUUUUAUUCCCUAAAUAAUCUAAUCAUUGCUUCAUAAGCAUAAGAAUUAUUUCCAUAGCAUCUGUGUUGUGGCAGGUAUUGUUAGGUCAUCUAGAUAUGAUUUAAAGUCAUUUGAGAAUGCGUACAUGCUUGGGACUUGAGCAUCUGCAGAAGGUGCUCCCAUGCAUGCCUUUAGUAUGGCUGUUCUUCUGAAAGCAGCUUUUAAAGCUAGUAUUACAGAUACACAAAAUGACAUAACGUGGUAAGUGUGUGUAACAUAUUUACUUUCUCUUGGCUAGGCUCCUCUACCUCAGCUCCGUGGGCUAUCCGAUUAUCUCCAGCCUCUGGUCUGUUAGGGGACAGACCCCAGGUGAGGUGGGCUGAAGCAACCAGCUAGGGAGGACAAAAUUAACAUUUUGAAGGAGCCUAGCCCAGUUCUUAGGGCUUCAGAUAGUUCUCUGUUAUGAAAGAGCCAAUGAACAUGAAGAAUGCCAGUUAACUACUAGUAUGAAGAAGCAAGUGGUCUCAUUUAUAAAGAGUAAAUGUAUUUAUACUUCUACUGAGGGUAAGACACAAGUAUGUACUACUCAAUUCUCAUUGGGCUUCUUUUCUGGUAGGGGAACUAGUGUGG
ensembl:processed_transcript Gm14023 predicted gene 14023